rnacentral:rRNA from 1 species
CUACGGGUUGCUCCAGUUUCGAAUAAUUCACAAUGGGCGCAAGCCUGAUGAUGCGACGUUACGUGUAGGAAGAAAGCUUUAAGUUGUAAACUUCUGUCGUUAAGGAACAAAAAAUUAAGUAGUACUUUUUAUAUUGAGUUAACUUAAAAAGGAAGCAGUGGCUAAUUUCGUGCCAGCAGCCGCGGUAAUACGGGAACUGCAAGCGUUGCUCGGUUUUAUUGGGCGUAAAGAGUACGUAGGCUGUUAUAUAUGUUAAUUGUUAAAUUUUAAAGUUAAUCUUUAAAUUUGCUGUUAAAACUAAUAACUAGAAUUUCAAAGAGGUAAGUGGAAUUUCAAGUGUAGCGGUGAAAUGCGUAGAUAUUUGAAGGAACACCAAUGGCGAAAGCAACUUACUGGGUGAUAAUCGACGCUAAAGUACGAAAGUAUAGGGAGCAAAAGGGAUUAGAUACCCCCGUAGUC